CGCCUGGUCCAACUGUUAUCUUCUUUAAGAAAUGAUGGGAGGCCUUUCUUCCAGGUAUCAUGGUCAAUAUCAGCACCCAGUUUAAUGUUCCAACAGGGAUUUCUGGACCAAAAUGACUCUUUAUGCUCUGUCACAUCUUGAGUGGGCAUGAUCAUAGACUCCAUGGAGCACACUUACAACUGGGAACACAAAGUCUGUUCACUUUUCCCAGGCCUGGGCCAUUACCUGAAGAUUAGGACACUCAAUGAUACAUUCUACUUUAAUUUUACACUUCAGACUUCUAGGAGUCUUGCAUCUGUUAGGACACGAGCAAGUCCGCAUGAGACCAGCAGAAAAUUCUUAUGAGAAACAAUGAAUCCUGGGUGCUUCAAGCAACAAAGUUGGGAUGGUUUUUUACACAGCAAUAGAUAACUGAAACCAAGGGGAAAAAUACUGACACAGACUUAGUAUUUAUUCCUGCUAGGUAUAGCUACACAAUUCCAAGCAUCAGAUGGCACUGAAAACAACUUUUAGGAUUAAUUUAAAAAGCAAUCAGUAAGUGGUUAAUUGUGGUGAGCAUAAAUAUACUUUCAUAAAAGGAAUGGAAAAAAUAUGUUAAAGUACUGCAUGGAUGAAGAUUUAUGGCUCAGGAUAAUACUUCCUGUGACAUGUAUGAUUCAGGAAGUGCCGUGUCUCUAACGACUUAGAUAAAAGUGAGGACAGAUGCUCUGAAAACUGUUGGACGAAAAAAAAAAAAAACACCAGUUCUCAAGAGCUAACAAAGCAAAUAACUGGUGUUAAAUACUAAGAAAAAUUUUAAUAAAAUUUUCAUAAAAUAUGACAGGAAAAAGUCAGUAUUUCUCACUUAGCAUUUUUUAUGUGAUUUAUCUGUGACCCUAAAUAUAUAUAGCUAAACAAAAUGUUAUGAAUGGGCAUUUCACAUGCCUCUAUAAACAUUUACAUAUUCUGUUCAGGUUACUCCCCUCCAAUAAAAACAAAACCAAAAAACAUGUUUUUGAAUCUUGUUUGGGAAAUAAGGGAACUACCCUCUAUAUUGGACAUAUGUAGUAUUUCAUAAAAUGACUGUUAUGGCUUGGCUGUGUCCCCACCCAAAUCUCAUCUUAAAUUAUGGUUCCCAUCAUCCCCACGUAUUGUGGGAGGGACUCAGUAGGAGGUAAUUGAAUCAUGGGGGCGGUUACCCUCAUGCUGCUGUUCUUGUGAUAGUGAAUGAGUUCUCACAAGAUCUGAUGGUUUUAUAAGGGGCAUUUUCCUCUUUGCUCAGCACUUCUCCUUCCUGCUAUCAUGUGAAGAAUGACCUGUUUACCUCCCCUUUCACCACGAUUGUAAGUUUCCUGAGGCCUCCCCAGCCAUGCAGAACUGUGAGUCAAUUAAACCUCUUUCCUUUAUAUAUUAUCCAUUCUUGGGCAGUUCUUUAUGGCAGCAUGAGAACAGACUAACACAAUGAUAAAGCACAAGAGUAUAAUAAAUGAUUAGAGACUACAAUUUAGCAGAAAGUUACUCUAAGAAGAUAUAAAAACUUUUAUUAAUAUUUUCUGGAAACAACUGUAACACAUUACAUUACCCCUGAGAUACACGUUUACCCAAUUCUUAAACUAUACCUUACUGUUACAAAUGACAAAGGGAAUGAAACUGUCUACUCUAAUGUAUGCUAAAACUUCUUAAGAAGCAAAGGGGUCCUGGGAACUUGUGGAAAACUUUUAAUUCCAUUUAUGGAGGUUAAUAAAAAAUUUUGAAUUGAAUGUCAGCAAAAAAUGUUGCCUAACCUUCAUUAAAAUAUGCUCAAACUGACUUUUCAGUCAUCAAAGUAUGACUCACCUGUGGUAUACAUAUCUUUAAAAGCUUACUGAAAGACCUGACUUUAGAAAUAUUUUUUUUCUUUCAAAGUCCAACAUGUUCACUGUAGAAAGUCCGGAAAAUUUAAGACUAUGAAGAAAAUAUAAUCUCCCCUAAUCUCACCAUUUAAAUAUGCCCAAUAUAGCUAAUAUUUAUUGAGUACUCUUUAGGUCAGACAGUGGUCUAAAUUCUUGAUACAUAUUAAUUCAUUUAACCCACAUAAGCCUAUGAGUUAUGUACCAUAAUCAUCUCCUUUUUACACAAGAAAACUGAUGUAGAGAGAGGUUAAGUAACCUUAGUUAUGUGGCCCAACAGCCAGUAAUAGGAAGAACUAGGCAUUCUGGUUUAAGGCUGCAAGCUCUGAAUCAUUACACAUGCUGUCGCUUGACUGGGAUUCUGCUACUUCUUUCCAGUCAUUUUUCUACAUUAUAUAUGUGAUAUAUACAUGUUGGACUUCUAUAGAAAUUUUUUUUGAAUAACUAUUAGCAAAGUCUCACCUUUACCAAGAAGACUUUCUAGGUGUCUCCAAAUCCACACAGUCUCCUCAGUGGCUAAUUUGGCAAUUUCAAGCAUCUAGUAUUUUACACUGUGGUGUUUAGCUCAAUGCAUUGCAUAGGUCACUGAGUGCAGAGACCACAUCUUAUUUUAUUUCCACUUUCUAAUUUUCUGAUACUAUGUAAAUGUUUGUAAAUGCCAGAAACCUAUGGGUGCUUGAAAUAGUUUCAGCAGAGUGGUAAGCUAAAAGGUAGUAUUUGAGUAAUAAUUUUCAAAAGACCUUUGGAAAUAUUCUAGACCCCGAGCUACUGAUAAAAGAGAUGCCAUUAGAACCUAAAAUUAUGGGGGAAAAAAGAGAAGAUAAGAAUAAUCUGGAGUUUUUCUGCAGAGGGAACUAUUAAUGG
rnacentral:lncRNA from 1 species